rnacentral:rRNA from 1 species
AGGACGAACGCUGGCGGCGCGCCUAACACAUGCAAGUCGAGCGAGAACCAUUCCUUCGGGAAUGGGGACAGCGGCGAACGGGUGAGUAACACGUGGGUAAUCUGCCCUCGAUUCUGGGAUAGCCCGGGGGAAACCCGGAUUAAUACCGGAUAGCCUCUCGAGCUUACGAGCUCUUGAGAAAAGGUGCUUCGGCCUCCGAUCGAGGAUGAGCCCGCGGCGGAUUAGCUUGUUGGUGGGGUAAUGGCCUACCAAGGCGACGAUCCGUAGCUGGUCUGAGAGGACGAUCAGCCACACUGGGACUGAGACACGGCCCAGACUCCGUACGGGAGCCAGCGAGUGGGAAUCGUUGCGCAAGUGGGACGAAAGCCUAGACGCGAGCGACGCCGCGGUGGGGAAGAACGGUCCGUUACGGGUUACGUAAACCUUCGUUUACGAGCGAGGACG